rfam:Glossina palpalis gambiensis isolate 146720 unplaced genomic scaffold Scaffold265, whole genome shotgun sequence.
GCUCCAGUGGCGCAAUUGGUUAGUCGCACGGUACUUAUAAUCAGUAAAUGGUGUAGUAAACCAAGAUAUGAGCAAUGCCGAGGUUGUGAGUUCGAGCCUCACCUGGAGCA